UACGGAGGAUCCAAGCGUUAUCCGGAUUUAUUGGGUUUAAAGGGUGCGCAGGCGGGAGAUUAAGUCGGUGGUGAAAUUUUGCAGCUCAACUGUAAAAGUGCCAUUGAUACUGGUUUUCUAGAGUGUAGAUGAAGUAGGCGGAAUGUGUAGUGUAGCGGUGAAAUGCAUAGAUAUCACGAGGAACUCCGAUUGCGCAGGCAGCUUACUAAACCAUAACUGACGCUCAGGCACGAAGGCGUGGGGAGUCAAACAGGAUUAGA
rnacentral:rRNA from 1 species